UCUUUCCUUUAUAAACUACCCAAUCUUGGGCAGUUCUUUAUAGCAGCAUGAGAAUAGUCCAUUCUAAUGUGUAUUAGUCAAUACACAUAUCUUUAAGUUUUCUGUGGUGAAGAUUAAGUAUGGCAGACACAAAGUGUAUACCCAAUAAAUAAUAGGUAUAAUUGUGCUCAUCCCACUCUCAUCAAUUACCUGGCAAAAAUUCUAUUCAAGGGCUAGGACUCUGCUACUCUACUCCAAUCCUCUUCAGUUCCACUAUGUUUAUUUCAGUUUCCUAACCAAAUAGGUAACAGCUGGUUUUGCAUGAAAGUGAGCAACUAUGGAGGCAGAAGAUUGUCUCCUCACAUACUUGGGAUGAAUUCUACCCUGAGGCACCACACCCUUGUUGGGCCAACCGCACAGAAUUCUGUGCAUGCACGACUGUCAAGUGUUUAUCUAUUGCCCCAGAAACAAACUUCUCUAUACCUGGUGCAUGUUUCUCUCCUAUUCUUCCAUCUCCUGUUGACCUCCCUUCCAAUUCUUUCCAAUAUGCCUCAUGGAAUUUUCAUUCUCUUAUGAGUAACCCUCUGUUGAUCUCCUAGCUUUCAUUAAACUUUGUCUGUGCUGCAAGCACACCGAAUAUCUUUUUGCUAUGUUAAAUCCAAAACCUAGUUAUCAGUCCUCAUCUUAGUUGAAUUAUCAGUACUUCCACUACUACCACCCGUAUACAAGCCACUAUCAUUUUUUUUUUCUGCCUGAAAUGAUACAGUAGUCUAUAAACCAAGUAUCUCUGCUUGCAUCUUCAUCUGCCUGUCACGUAUGCUCAACAUAGUAACCACAGUGAUCCUUAUAAAACCAAAGUCAGAUAAUGUCACUUCUUGACUACUUCAGGUCAGGGACCAUGUCAUUUUAUUCCCCCUCUGUAUCUCCAGGGCUUAUCACUGAAACUUAGCAGGCACUCACUAAAUAUUUUGCUGAGCAGUUAAAACCAAGAGAAGAAAGAGGAGGGAGGUAUAUGGCAAUCAUUUACCACAUCCUCUUUUAACCUCUUGAAUAUCUUACCAAUGUCUUCUUUUGUCCUUACCUUCACAUCAUUUUAUUUGACAAACAAAACUGUUCUCUAGAGAGGUAAGGCAGACGUGUGAACUGGACCCAUAGAAGUUAAGUGAUGACCCUGUUUGCAAUGUCAAAGAGAUUGAGGGCUUGGACUUGAACUCAACCUUCUCCCUCCAAAUAGCCUGCUCUUUCUGUUAUGCCAUGUUUCAUAUACAAGUUUGGGAGCCUCCAGCCCUGACUAUCCCAAGUUGUUAUUCUGUGACAUCUUCUCUACUUAAGCAGCUCACCCACGAGGCAUCCAAAACAGAGAGAAAAAACAGAGUGAACAUUUUGCCUUAUGGAAUUGUCAAAAGUUGUGGUCAAAACACAGAGCAAGCUAAUGGGAGUCAAGGAUGAACAGAAAUUCCCUCUGCAGCUGAGGCAGGAGAAUUGCUUAGACCCAGGAGACGGAGUUUGCAAUGAGCCAAGAUCUUGCCACUGCAUUCCAGCCUGGCGACAGAGCAAGACUCCGUCUCAAAAAAAAGUUUCCUCUGUCUAUCGCAUCACCUCAAGUCUGGUUAUGACGCUAUACUCAGCUAGUACGAUACUCCAUGGAUUCUUGACCACUUAAAAAUCUUGUCCUUCAGGCCGUUUAUUGAUUUUGGAGUAUAUAAUAAAUAUCCUUCAAUUA